AAUGCGGUGACAAAGCCUGCGUGGUAAUGGGGGAAGACAGGAAGAGAGCCACUGGGGUACCCUGGGCGCUGUGGGAACGACGACGUCCAAAGCCAGCGAGCUCCGGGGUGGUCAGUGUCUCCUCCCUCUUCCCCGCCCCUACACCGCGACAGUUACCCGUGCAGCGUGACCUUUAGCGCCAGCACUCUGCCACCCCCUUCUCUGCUAAUAUGGCGCGUUUUCUCGCACGACAAGAUCACCGCAGAACGUGAAGGCGGGUUGCAGAACGGAGGAUUUACAAACAUUUGGGAACGACUUUUUCUGGCAUGUCUCUGUGAGAACUGCAGGACUUUCUGCACACAAAGACAGUCUAAACCUCUGCACUCAAAGACGAGGAACUCUAGCGUGGCUUAUAGGAGUAUGACUCAAAGUCCUCCACUCUCCACUGCCCUCUAACCUCGACCCCAGGAAAAUGUCUUCCCGAGAAAGCUCAAGGCAGCCAGGAGAAUUUUCCGUUUAUUCUAGCCAACACCCGAUGGUAUUGAUCAUUCACCAGGCUUUGUCCUAGAUUGGCACUGGAGAUUUAAAGUUUAGAAGAAGCUGCCCCUCCAUCCAGUUCACUGACUCCCUGGAAGACUGACACCUCCCCCUGCAAGUCUAGAGGAUAAUGGCAGAAGAGAAGCAAGGUCAAGAUACAGAGGAAGUGGAAGCAAAAGAGCAGCUGAAUCUCAGGACAGUGCUGUUUUCAGAGCAGAGAGCUUUGGAGCUGAGACUUGAACAUGAGGAGGGGCUUGGAGAUGGGUAGAGGAGAGGAUUCUGGGUAAAAGGAGCAGCAUGUGCAAUAGCCUAAAAAAAAGGAAGGAACAAGA